UACGGGGGGGGCAAGGCGUUGUUCGGAAUUACUGGGCGUAAAGGGCUCGUAGGCGGCCAACUAAGUCAGACGUGAAAUCCCUACGGCUUGAACCGAGGAACUGCGUCUGAUACUGGAUGGCUUGAAGUCCGGGAGAGGGAUGUGGAAUUCCAGGUGUAGCGGUAGAAAUGCGUAGAUAUCUGGAGGAACACCGGUGGCGAAGGCGGCAUCCUGGACCGGCAUUGACGCUGAGGAGCGAAAGCCAGGGGAGCAAACGGGG
rnacentral:rRNA from 1 species